AUUGAACGCUGGCGGCAGGCCUAACACAUGCAAGUCGAGCGGAUGAAGGGAGCUUGCUCCUGGAUUCAGCGGCGGACGGGCGAGUAAUGCCUAGGAAUCUGCCUGGCAGUGGGGGAUAACGUCCGGAAACGGGCGCUAAUACCGCAUACGUCCUGAGGGAGAAAGUGGGGGAUCUUCGGACCUCACGCUAUCAGAUGAGCCUAGGUCGGAUUAGCUAGUUGGUGGGGUAAAGGCCUACCAAGGCGACGAUCCGUAACUGGUCUGAGAGGAUGAUCAGUCACACUGGAACUGAGACACGGUCCAGACUCCUACGGGAGGCAGCAGUGGGGAAUAUUGGACAAUGGGCGAAAGCCUGAUCCAGCCAUGCCGCGUGUGUGAAGAAGGUCUUCGGAUUGUAAAGCACUUUAGGUUGGGAGGAAGGGCAGUAAGUUAAUACCUUGCUGUUUUGACGUUACCAACAGAAUAAGCACCGGCUAACUUCGUG
rnacentral:rRNA from 1 species